rnacentral:rRNA from 1 species
UUGAUUAUUACAAUUUUAUUCGCCAGGGAACUACGAGCGUCAGCUUAAAACCCAAAGGACUUGGCGGUGCCCUACACCUCCUAGAGGAGCCUGUUCUAUAAUCGAUGAUCCACGAUACACCUCACCGUUUCUUGCCAAAACCGCCUAUAUACCGCCGUCUCCAACUUACCCUAUGAAGGAUUUACAGUAAGUUCAAAGAUCACUCAUCAGAACGUCAGGUCAAGGUGUAGCGAAUGAAACGGGAAGAAAUGGGCUACAUUUUCUAUUUUAGAUCACACGGACAGUCAGUAUGAAACCUGAUUAUGAAGGAGGAUUUAGCAGUAAAAAGAAAUCAGCAAGUUCUUUUUAAGUCGGACCUAGGGCGCGUACACACCGCCCGUCCCU